GCCAAGCACGGUGGCUUGUGCCUGUAAUGCAAGCCUCGGGGAGGGUGAAAUUGGUGGAUGGCUCAAGCCCACGGGUUCUGGGCUGCCAGGGGCGUCUGUGCCAGGGCCAGCAUCGAUAUGGUGGCCCUGGAGGAGCCAUGGGCCACUGGGUCACCUAAGCAGGGGUGAACCAGCCCAAGCUGGAGACAGAACAGGUUAAAACUCCUGUGCUGAUCAGUAGCAGGAUGGUCCCUGUAGGAAAACCCCAGGUGAGCAAGUGGCAUCUGGUUUACU
rnacentral:SRP_RNA from 1 species